CCGUAUUCCGCUGACGGUACNUGAAGAAUGAGCACCGGCUAACUACGUGCCAGCAGCCGCGGUAAUACGUAGGGUGCAAGCGUUAAUCGGAAUUACUGGGCGUAAAGCGUGCGCAGGCGGUUCUGUAAGAUAGAUGUGAAAUCCCCGGGCUCAACCUGGGAAUUGCAUAUAUGACUGCAGGACUUGAGUUUGUCAGAGGAGGGUGGAAUUCCACGUGUAGCAGUGAAAUGCAUAGAUAUGUGGAAGAACACCGAUGGCGAAGGCAGCCCUCUGGGACAUGACUGACGCUCAUGCACGAAAGCGUGGGGAGCAAACAGGAUUAGAUACCCUGGUAGUCCACGCCCUAAACGAUGUCUACUAGUUGUUGGGGACGUUAGUCCUUGGUAACGCAGCUAACGCGUGAAGUAGACCGCCUGGGGAGUACGGUCGCAAGAUUACAACUCAAAGGAAUUGAAGGA
rnacentral:rRNA from 1 species